rfam:Mycobacterium sp. ACS4331 contig_47, whole genome shotgun sequence.
UCGCUCAGCGCGGGAGAGUUCCGUGGUCGCCAGCCGCGGACGCCGAAGGAGCAACACCUCUCCGUCAACCUCUCAGGCCCCAGGACCGCGCCUGGCCA